UACAGAGGUCCCGAGCGUUGUUCGGAUUCACUGGGCGUAAAGGGUGCGUAGGUGGUGGUGUAAGUUUGAUGUGAAAUCUCCGGGCUUAACCUGGAAAUGGCAUUGAAUACUGCAUUGCUGGAGGUUUGGAGGGGGGGGGACUGGAAUUCUCGGUGUAGCAGUGAAAUGCGUAGAUAUCGAGAGGAACACCAGUGGCGAAGGCGAGUCCCUGGACAAAAACCUGACACUGAGGCACGAAAGCCGGGGGAGCAAACAGG
rnacentral:rRNA from 1 species